UAAAAGAAUUGCAUGAACCGUAAUGCCUUAACUUAAAGGUGUCAAUAAACAUUAGCGUAUUUACCUUACUAUAUAUUUCAAGUCAUGGAGGAUAUAUGUUGUAAAUAAACUUGACAGAAUCUUUAAAAACGCAAGGAUCUUGAGUUGCAUUCCUUGCCAUUGCAUUGGCAAAUUUUGAAAUAACACUUAUAGUACGCAAAGACGACCAGGCUGCCUUCGUGUUAGAUUUUUGAUAAAGCGAUCUUUCUUCUUAUUUAAAUAAGCACUGCUAAAGACUACAUACCUUGUAACUCCAUUUGUCGUUAUUUCAAUUUAUUCAGACCGGAUGUUUUCCUGAAUUGAAAAUUAAACAAAAUUGCAGUCUAACUCUUUAAUUAUUUGA